UCUGAUUUCCUGUUUGCGCCAUCUGUCGGUGGGCUUUUUCAUUUCUCAUUCGCAUUGGCGUAAGGUAGAGUUCAAAAUGGCCGAUCAACAUCAGGACCAAAAGCAAGAAGGUAACGAUUCCGGAUCGGAAUAUAUAAAGCUUAAAGUCGUUGGACAGUUUGGCGUUUAGCUAUUGUUUAGCUUUUCGACUAUUUGCCUAAACUGUAUAAACCUUGCUAGAGACUAUACAAGACUGUAUCUAUCAAAUUGUUGAUCUGAAUUCUACUAAACAUUUUGUCUUUGUUAAUUUUUCAAUAUUUUUUUUGAGUUGACGGCACUGUAAUUCUGAAAUAAAUAUUCAUUCACAUGUCAUAAAUAUAAUUAUUGGAUAUUUAAUAAAAGUAAAUGUAAUCUGAUUUUAUGAAUUGAAAUUUAAGACUGUGAUGUUUUUUAUCAUUUUUGUAUUAUUGUUAUUGUCAUUUAGCAAAUCAGAAUAAUGCAGUUUCUGAAAGAAAGGACGAUAAUGACUAAGAUACAGUUUUUUUUUAAAUUUUGUACAAAUGACAAUCAUUAAUCAGUUGUAUUAGCUGAGUUUCUUAGUUGUUAGAAUAAUUUCGUUAAAGGCAUACGUAGAGUGUUAGAAUAUUAAAAUAUAUAAUUAAUUAUAUAAUUAUUUUUAAUUUUAAAAAACGAAUAUAUAUAGAAUACAUAAAAGAUAAAUUUUAAAAAAAUAGGUAGAUGCAUCUAGUAAAUAAAAAGUAAUAAUAAUCUGCAGAUUUAUUUUGAAAUUUAAAUUAAAAGAAAUUAUUAUUAUGGAAGCUAAUUCAGGAACAUGAUGAUUAGAACAGGUUUUAUUGAUGCAGCUGAACCUCAGCUUUUACAAUGUAAUUAGUUUCUGGAAAACUGUUGCUAAAUGAUUAAACACAGAAACCAGGGGUUGCUCUGAAAAGUUUAAAAAUAUUGCCAACCAUUUGCCAGUUUGAAAUUUUUUUUGCCAUCAGUUUUACUAACUAAUUAAUGUAGGUUCUGGCAGCUUCAUCAGUUUGAUGUCUGGAAAGCAAAAGUAACAUGUUAAGCUGUCACUUACAAGGAAAGGAUCAGACAUUUGGGUCUUUGAUUCAAAUGAAAUCUGAUGAGCUCAUAGCCUUAAACACAGACAGCUUUUUGUCCAAAAAAUGGGCCUCUGAAAAUUUAGGGUUUAGCUUACAGGUAUUUGAAAGUUUCACAUUUCUGGACAGUGAUAGUGAAGUGGAUAGGACACAAGACACUGGAGUUAGAUGAUGUGGGUUCAAAAUUUUAGUUUAGUUUUACUUUUUUUUUAUGUGCAACAUUAUUCUAUUUUACUGCAUUAUUAUUACUAUUAUUAUUAUUCCUCGUGUUUAAAGCUUAUAAAACAAAGAAAUUAAAAAUUAUGACGUCAUUUCCUGUUUAGCAAAAACAAGUCUCUGUAGAUUAUCUCUUUUUACAUUGUUAAAUAAUUAUACUAGCUCUAUGACGACUUUUCCUU